rnacentral:rRNA from 1 species
UACGAAGGGGGCUAGCGUUGCUCGGAAUCACUGGGCGUAAAGCGCACGUAGGCGGAUUGCUAAGUCAGGGGUGAAAUCCUGGAGCUCAACUCCAGAACUGCCUUUGAUACCGGCAACCUUGAGUCCGGGAGAGGUGAGUGGAACUGCGAGUGUAGAGGUGAAAUUCGUAGAUAUUCGCAAGAACACCAGUGGCGAAGGCGGCUCACUGGCCCGGUACUGACGCUGAGGUGCGAAAGCGUGGGGAGCAAACAGG